UGCUGCUUGUUCUCUGUCUGGUUUUCCAGGGCUCACUCAGGUCCACACUACCACCACCCAACAGCUAUGGUUUGUUCGAGGAGACUGACCACACAUCCAGGUUGAAAAUGUUCUCUUUACCAUUUGGUGAACAGUUGGAAGUCAGUUCAGUGUACAACCUUUGUGAGGAGCUGGUGUGCUGAUGUGAUGGUGGUGUGAGGUCUCCUGCUGUAGAAUAAUGAUACUUUCAGGAUGACCACUGUAACUGAGGAUCACGCCUGUGUACCGCAUGACAACUUUGUGCCCUCACACAUUUUGAAAAUCAUUAAAGAGGAACUCAAGUUACUGUUUGUCUGUUUUCUCUCUGUGAGAAUGCAUGUGUCUCAGCAUCUGUA
rnacentral:lncRNA from 1 species